AGAGUUUGAUCCUGGCUCAGAACGAACGCUGGCGGCGUGGAUAAGACAUGCAAGUCGAACGGGAUUUUCUUUGGUAGCAAUACUAGAGAAAGUCUAGUGGCGAACGGGUGCGUAACACGUGGGCAAUCUGCCUUAAAGUGGGGGAUAGCUCGGCGAAAGCCGAAUUAAUACCGCAUAUGAUCAGAAGGGACAUCCCUUCGAAAUCAAAGAUGGCGCAAGCUAUCGCUUUUAGAGGAGCCCGCGGCCUAUCAGCUAGUUGGUGAGGUAACGGCUCACCAAGGCUUUAACGGGUAGCUGGUCUGAGAGGACGACCAGUCACACUGGAACUGAGACACGGUCCAGACACCUACGGGUGGCAGCAGUCGAGAAUUUUUCUCAAUGGGGGAAACCCUGAAGGAGCGACGCCGCGUGGAGGAUGAAGGUCUUCGGGUUGUAAACUCCUGUCAUUUGGGAACAAGUUGCACACGUUAACUGCGUGGGCAUUGAUAGUACCAGAAGAGGAAGAGACGGCUAACUCUGUGCCAGCAGCCGCGGUAAUACAGAGGUCUCAAGCGUUGUUCGGAUUCAUUGGGCGUAAAGGGUGCGUAGGUGGCGCCAUAAGUCGGGUGUGAAAUUUCGGAGCUCAACUCCGAAACUGCAUUCGAUACUGUGGUGCUUGAGGACUGGAGAGGAGACUGGAAUUUACGGUGUAGCAGUGAAAUGCGUAGAGAUCGUAAGGAAGACCAGUGGCGAAGGCGGGUCUCUGGACAGUUCCUGACACUGAGGCACGAAGGCCAGGGGAGCAAACGGGAUUAGAUACCCUAGUAGUCC
rnacentral:rRNA from 1 species